GAUGAAGAACGCAGCGAAAUGCGAUAAGUAGUGUGAAUUUCAGAAUUCAGUGAAUCAUCGAAUCUUUGAACGCACAUUGCGCCCCUUGGUAUUCCAUGGGGCAUGCCUGUUCGAGCGUCAUUUGUACCUUCAAGCUCUGCUUGGUGUUGGGUGUUUGUCUCGCCUCUGCGUGUAGACUCGCCUCAAAACAAUUGGCAGCCGGCGUAUUGAUUUCGGAGCGCAGUACAUCUCGCGCUUUGCACUCAUAACGACGACGUCCAAAAGUACAUUUUUACACUCUUGACCUCGGAUCAGGUAGGGAUACCCGCUGAACUUAAGCAUAUCAAUAAGCGGAGGA
rnacentral:misc_RNA from 1 species